GACGUAGGGUGCAAGCGUUGUCCGGAUUUAUUGGGCGUAAAGAGCUCGUAGGCGGCUUGUUGCGUCGACUGUGAAAACCCGCGGCUUAACCGCGGGCUUGCAGUUGAUACGGGCAGGCUAGAGUUCGGUAGGGGAGACUGGAAUUCCUGGUGUAGCGGUGAAAUGCGCAGAUAUCAGGAGGAACACCGGUGGCGAAGGCGGGUCUCUGGGCCGAUACUGACGCUGAGGAGCGAAAGCGUGGGGAGCAAACAGG
rnacentral:rRNA from 1 species